rnacentral:rRNA from 1 species
GGACUACCAGGGUUUCUAAUCCUGUUUGCUCCCCACGCUCUCGCGCCUCAGCGUCAGUAUCUGUCCAGACAGCCGCCUUCGCCACUGGUGUUCCUUCCGAUCUCUACGCAUUUCACCGCUACACCGGAAAUUCCACUGCCCUCUACAGUACUCCAGCCAGACAGUCACGAAUGCAGUUCCCGGGUUAAGCCCGGGGAUUUCACACCCCUCUUGUCCAACCGCCUGCGCGCCCUUUACGCCCAGUAACUCCGAUUAACGCUCGCACCCUCUGUAUUACCGCGGCUGCUGGCAC